UACGUGAAUUCACCUACUCACUAAAAAUUAUUUAUAGCUCCAAAAGUGAUACUCAUGUUGUCCUCAGGAUCAUUCAUAGGCCUGCUUUAGGAAUGAAGGAGACUGUAGCCUGAAAGCCCCUGCAGGUCCCGUUUUCAUCUGAUUGGAAGCUGAUGAGCAUGAUGCUGGAGGGGCUCAGCACAGGGGUGGGGACAUCAUAGCCACACAGCCGAGCUUGUUGAAGGCCAGCCCAGGCAUGACAUUGUCAAGCACCCAGCAGAUAGCCAUGGCAUUGGAGAGAAGAAAAAAAGAAAAUCAUCCUUCAGACUCUGAAAUGAAAGCUGAGAAGACACGAAGUUACAUCCAGAGUAAACAAUCUGAAUGAAUUACCUGACUUUGAUUCAGCAGAGAAAUUUGGAUUGCUCAACUUGUUCUGGAUUCUCCUGAAUCAAGACUGAAAUUUGUUGUGCCCCUUGGAGACCGUGUCUUUCUACCCAGCGGGAUAUAGCUGGCUCCUCUUCUCACCUGCUUUGUCCUGUUGCCACUAUAUUUCCAUGCCUCACUGCAAAAUUCUGAGAAGGCACAGAUUUGGUUGAAUCUGCUGACAUGGAACUUGCAGAUACGGAGGCCUGGCUGCAUGUAGAUCCUGGCUUUUGCAGACUUACUAUACCUGGAUCUACGCCAGGGAUUCUCAUUGUUGGUACUAUUAACCUUUUGGGUGGGAUCAUUCUUUGUUGUGGGAGGCUGUCCUGUACUUUGUAGGAUGUUUAGCAGCAUCCAAGUCCCCUACCCACUGGACACCAGAGCCACUCCUCAGCUCUGCCAGUUGUGACAAUUAAAAAUGUCUUCUGAUACUGUCCCUGGGGACAAAAUUGCCCCUGGUUGAUAACUACUGAUCUGUUAUAGUUUGCUGGAUUUUUUUGAGAAGUAAGUGGUGCCAUCGUGUAAUGGUGAGCACUCUGGACUCUGAAUCCAGAGAAGUAAGUGGUGAAAGCAUAUCAUCAACUGAGAUAGUUUCAAUUAAAGGCCAGUUUGAGAAGGUCUAGGAUGGAUGGAUUCAUUUUUCAUUGAAUAUCUGCAUGCUGCUCCACAUACCAUAUUUUACUCUUGUUUUAUUUAGACUUGGUAAACCUCACAAUCCUUGUGUGCUACACUGAGAACAGAGGUAGAGCCUGUUGGUUCAGGUGCUCUGAUUUGCCAGGACUCUGCUGAUGCUGUCUCUGGCCCUAGCAGAAUGGCAGCUUCUUAACCUUGUGUGAUGGC
rnacentral:lncRNA from 1 species